GCUUCUUGUGGCUUAUACCUCUGCUAGUACCACCGCUCAGUCCCUCACCAGAGUGGCCGGACCCGUGUGUCAUCCCUGCAUUACCUUGUGCCUCAGUAUGCUACUGUGUGGGAGUCAGGACUGCUAUGUGAUUCCCUGUGUCUGUUAAAAUGGGGCCCCAGAAUUGACAACAACAGUACCAUUCUGGCAGAUGCUCAGUGUGUCCACCUACAAAUGAUAACAGCCACGUCCUUUAAGAGGGCCUUUAAAUGGCAACUCCAAAGAAUAAAAAAUACUUGAGAAAUGAAACCUCCUCCCAAAAGAAAGGAGCCGUCAAUCCAGGACCACUACAGUUCAGCAAAACUCACCAUUGGAUGCACCUGCAGUCACAUGAUUCUAGUACUAUUAAUGUGAAUAAUUUCAUUCACUGUUCUUGUAUAUGAAUUGUUGAUGGCAAUAAAGUUUAAUUGAAUGGAA